UAUAGUUUUUGAAUUACAUGACAGGUGUGCAAGCCUCAUGUUGUGGUUAUGGUGAUUCAUUUCUGCCCUCAAAUCCAUAUACAUGCACCGUGAAUCAUUUUGUCAAUAUUUUACUUUAGUGUGUUAGGAGAUACCUGCGGUUGAGUGUGUUUGAUUUUCACUUCAUUAGCACUUGCAUUCUUAGGUUAAUUUUCAUAAAAAAAAUUGAGGGUAUUGAUACAACAAUAACUCAUUUAAAACUGCCAUGCUGAUUAACAUGCUUGAAAAGAGUUGUAAGG
rnacentral:misc_RNA from 1 species